rnacentral:rRNA from 1 species
CAGUAACGGCGAGUGAAGCGGCAAAAGCUCAAAUUUGAAAUCUAGCACCUUCGGUGUUCGAGUUGUAAUUUGAAGAUGGUAACCUUGGGUUUGGCUCUUGUCUAUGUUCCUUGGAACAGGACGUCAUAGAGGGUGAGAAUCCCGUCUGAUGAGAUGCCCAUUCCUAUGUAAGGUGCUAUCGAAGAGUCGAGUUGUUUGGGAAUGCAGCUCUAAGUGGGUGGUAAAUUCCAUCUAAAGCUAAAUAUUGGCGAGAGACCGAUAGCGAACAAGUACAGUGAUGGAAAGAUGAAAAGAACUUUGAAAAGAGAGUGAAAAAGUACGUGAAAUUGUUGAAAGGGAAGGGCAUUAGAUCAGACUUGGUGUUUUACGAUUAUCUUCUCUUCUUGAGUUGUGCACUCGUAUUUCACUGGGCCAGCAUCGAUUCGGAUGGCAAGAUAAUGGCAGUUGAAUGUGGCUUCACUUCGGUGGAGUGUUAUAGCUUCUGCUGAUAUUGCCUGUCUGGAUCGAGGGCUGCGUCUUUUGACUAGGAUGCUGGCGUAAUGAUCUAAUGCCGCCCGUCUUGACCC